rnacentral:rRNA from 1 species
GCAAUGCCGCGUGCAGGAUGAAGGCCUUCGGGUUGUAAACUGCUUUUGUACGGAGCGAAACGGUCCGCCCUAAUACGGUGGGCUAAUGACGGUACCGUAAGAAUAAGCACCGGCUAACUACGUGCCAGCAGCCGCGGUAAUACGUAGGGUGCGAGCGUUAAUCGGAAUUACUGGGCGUAAAGCGUGCGCAGGCGGUGAUGUAAGACAGAUGUGAAAUCCCCGGGCUCAACCUGGGACCUGCAUUUGUGACUGCAUCGCUAGAGUACGGUAGAGGGGGAUGGAAUUCCGCGUGUAGCAGUGAAAUGCGUAGAUAUGCGGAGGAACACCGAUGGCGAAGGCAAUCCCCUGGACCUGUACUGACGCUCAUGCACGAAAGCGUGGGGAGCAAACAGGAUUAGAUACCCUGGUAGUCCACGCCCUAAACGAUGUCAACUGGUUGUUGGGUCUUCACUGACUCAGUAACGAAGCU